rnacentral:rRNA from 1 species
GACGAACGCUGGCGGCGUGCCUAACACAUGCAAGUCGAGCGAGGACUGCGGGUGCAGUGGCGCACGGCUGUGUAUUCCGUCGGAACCUUCACUCGGGAUAGGAAUAACUAGGCGAAUGGGGUAGCAUUGUCGGAUAUAUUCUUCUUUCAGACGAUCUAUUGGCCUGGGAUGGGCCCGUGUUUGAUUGGCUGGUUGGGAGGGUAAAAGCCGACUAAGGGGAGGAUCCAUAGCUGGUCAGAGAGGAUGGUCAGCGACACAGGGACUGGGACACGGCCCGGACUCCUACGGGAGGCAGCAGUGGGGAAUAUUGGAAAAUGGGGGGAGGCCUGAACCAGCAAUGCCGCUUGAGUGAUGAAGGCAUUAGGGUUGUAAAGCGCUUUUACCCGGGAUGAUAAUGACAGUACCGGGUGAAUAAGCGCCGGCUAACUCCGUG